rnacentral:rRNA from 1 species
CAGUCGCCGCGGGAAUACGAAGGGGGCUAGCGUUGUUCGGAAUUACUGGGCGUAAAGGGCGCGUAGGCGGCCAUUCAAGUUAGAUGUGAAAGCCCUGGGCUCAACCUAGGAAUUGCAUUUGAUACUGUUUGGCUUGAGUUCGGGAGAGGUGAGUGGAAUUCCCAGUGUAGAGGUGAAAUUCGUAGAUAUUGGGAAGAACACCAGUGGCGAAGGCGGCUCACUGGACCGACACUGACGCUGAGGCGCGAAAGCGUGGGGAGCAAACAGGAUUAGAUACCCCUGUAGUCCCUGUCUCUUAUAC